GUCUUCUUCUCGUUUUUCCUGUUUUUCAAUCUCCUCAUUCUUUCGUGCUCAAAACUAUAAUUUCAACUUCGAUAUAUUUUUUUUCCGAUUAUUUUUUUAAAAAUUGAUUAGUGAUUCAGUUAACUCUUUCAUCGUACUAGUAGUUUAGUUCGCUUUUCUCAAGGUUGAAGACAGCUAUGACGAAACGCAUUUAUCGUACUAUUUAUGUUGGAAAUCUUCCCGGUGAUAUUCGGGAGAGAGAGGUGGAGGAUAUUUUUUACAAGUAUGGCCCAAUCGUUGAAAUUGAUUUGAAGGUUCCGCCAAGGCCUCCAGGUUAUGCUUUUGUUGAGUUUGAAGAUGAACGAGAUGCUGAAGAUGCUGUGCAUGGCCGAAAUGGUUAUGAUUUUGAUGGGCAUCGUCUACGGGUGGAAUUCGCUCAUGGUGGACGAGGUUCAUCAUCAUCAGACCAUCGCAGCAGUUACAGUGGUAGUAGUUAUAGAGGGGGAGCACCCAAGCACACUGACUACAGAGUUAUGGUCACUGGACUGCCAUCAUCUGCUUCUUGGCAAGACCUGAAGGAUCACAUGCGACGAGCUGGAGAAGUUUGUUUUUCAGAUGUAUUCAAGGAUCGUCGUUAUGGUGGCAUGGCUGGAGUUGUCGAAUAUGCAAGUUAUGAUGAUAUGAAACGUGCUGUCAGGAAGCUGGAUGAUUCUGAAUUUCGUAAUGCAUUCUCUCGCGCUUAUAUCCGAGUGAAGGAGGACUCGAGGAGUCUGAGUCCAGAUGAUAGGUCGAGAAGCAGAAGCAGAAGCUACAGCCGUGGCCGUAGUUAUAGUCGAAGCCGCAGCCGCAGCCGCAGCCACAGUAUAUCUCCGCGAAGAAACUCACGCCGUUCUUAUUCUAGAUCUCCUUCGAAGUCCCGCUCGAGAUCUCCCUCUCGUUCUCGCUCUAGCUCUUUGCGGCAGUCUGGGGAUUGGACAAAGGGGGCUUGGAUCUCUUUGCACGUCAAACAUGCUCAUUUCCAUCCAAGGUGGACAAAUUUUAGUAAAUAUAACAAGACCCAGGCUGGUAUUUUGUUAUUUUUUGGACAUGUUUAAUAUUGGGAAGCAUGUCUGGAUAUGUGUUUAAGGUAUAAUAUUUGGCGGAGGUUCUUGGGUGUUAGCUGACGGAAUCUUUGGUUCAAUAAGAAAGAGCCGGAUUCUUCUCGUAACUCAUAAGUGCUCUAGUGUCUUGGAACACAAAGCAUAUCAUAGCCAAAUUGCAAACUUAAAGGAUAUUGGUAGAUACAUUGUUCAGUGCAUUUUAAGUGCGAAACUUGGUUUUGGGACUUGUUGCUUCUCUCGUUGGUGAACAUGAGAUUCCACUACGAGCUGACUUGAUGAUCCUUAUCAAGAUCCAGGUCCCCAGUUCGUCGCAGAGUUAGCAGGAGUGCUAGUCGAUCACUUUCACCAGCUGCUCGAUCUGAUAGGAGUCAAUCUGUGAAGUCUGAGGAGCGUUGCUGAGUGAAGGAGAUUAUUGCCG